GAGUUUGAUCCUGGCUCAUAAUCAACGCUGGCGGCGUGCCUAACACAUGCAAGUCGCACGAGAAAGGGUCUUCGGAUCUGAGUAAAGUGGCGCACGGGUGAGUAACACGUGAAUCAUCUACCUUCGAGUGGGGAAUAACUGAGAGAAAUCUUAGCUAAUACCGCAUAAUACCCACGGGUCAAAGCAGCAAUGCGCUUGAAGAGGAGUUCGCGGCAGAUUAGUUAGUUGGCGGGGUAAUGGCCCACCAAGACGAUGAUCUGUAUCCGGCCUGAGAGGGCGCACGGACACACUGGAACUGAAACACGGUCCAGACUCCUACGGGAGGCAGCAGUGGGGAAUUUUGCGCAAUGGGGGAAACCCUGACGCAGCAACGCCGCGUGGAGGAUGAAAUCCCUUGGGAUGUAAACUCCUUUCGAUCGGGAAGAUAAUGACGGUACCGAGAGAAGAAGCCCCGGCUAACUUCGUGCCAGCAGCCGCGGUAAUACGAGGGGGGCAAGCGUUGUUCGGAAUUAUUGGGCGUAAAGGGUGCGUAGGCGGUUUGAUAAGUUUGAUGUGAAAUCUCUGGGCUCAACCCAGAGUCUGCAUCGAAAACUGUCGGGCUUGAGUAUGGGGAGAGGUGAGUGGAAUUUCCGGUGUAGCGGUGAAAUGCGUAGAUAUCGGAAGGAACACCUGGGGGAAUCGCUCCCUGGACCAUUCUGACCCUGAUGCCCGAAAGCUACGCACAAGCGGUGGAGCAUGUGGUUUAAUUCGACGCAACGCGAAGAACCUUACCUGGGCUCGAAAUGUACGGGACAGUGGUAGAAAUAUCAUCUCCUAGCAAUAGGUCCGUAUAUAGGUGCUGCAUGGCUGUCGUCAGCUCGUGUCGUGAGAUGUUGGGUUAAGUCCCGCAACGAGCGCAACCCUUACCUACAGUUGCCACCCGCAAGGGGGAACUCUGUCGGAACCGCUUCGGAUAACGGAGAGGAAGGUGGGGAUGACGUCAAGUCCUCAUGGCCUUUAUGUCCAGGGCUACACACGUGCUACAAUGGCCGGUACAAACCGCUGCAACCCCGCGAGGGUGAGCUAAUCGGAAAAAGCCGGCCUCAGUUCGGAUUGGAGUCUGCAACUCGACUCCAUGAAGCUGGAAUCGCUAGUAAUCGUGGAUCAGCAUGCCACGGUGAAUACGUUCCCGGGCCUUGUACACACCGCCCGUCACAUCACGAAAGUGGGUUGCACUAGAAGUCGGUGCGCUAACUC
rnacentral:rRNA from 1 species